rnacentral:rRNA from 1 species
UACGUAGGGGGCAAGCGUUGUCCGGAGUUACUGGGCGUAAAGCGCACGCAGGCGGUCUCUUAAGUUUGGAGUGGCAGUUGGUGGCUUAACUGCCAAAGUGCUUCGAAAACUGAGAGACUUGAGGGCUUCAGAGGGACACGGAAUUCCGGGUGGAGUGGUGAAAUGCGUAGAUAUCAGGAGGAACACCUGUGGUGUAGACGGCUUUCUGGACCAUAGCUGACGCUGAGACACGAAAGCGUGGGUAGCAAACAGG